CCCCCCUGCCCCCAACUGGUCCAGAUACGUGAUAGGAUCAAAAGGUAAAAAGCAUGAAACACUGAUAAACAAAAACAAUUGGUAAAAAUAUUUUCUAAUGGCACAGAUUUCUAAUUGAUAUAACUACACUAAGUAUAAGCUUCUUUUUUUUAUUUUAAAGGUUUUUUUGUGAACCAAUAUGUUUGUAUGCAUGCUUUUAUAUUCCAUCAAGUAAGAUUAGAUCGCAUUCUAAUUUCUAUGUAGAUUUUGACUUAUGUUUCUAGAUGGUUCUAAGGAUUCUAUUUCUUGCUUAUCAUUACCCUACAGCCAUAAUUUGUUUUGAUAUAGUUUUUUCAUUAAUGAUAACUUAUUCAAUUUUAAUACUUAUGACUAGAGAAACAUUUAGUUUG